UACGUAGGGUGCAAGCGUUGUCCGGAAUUAUUGGGCGUAAAGAGCUCGUAGGCGGUUUGUCGCGUCGGCUGUGAAAACCCGAGGCUCAACCUCGGGCCUGCAGUGGGUACGGGCAGACUAGAGUGCGGUAGGGGAGAGUGGAAUUCCUGGUGUAGCGGUGGAAUGCGCAGAUAUCAGGAGGAACACCGAUGGCGAAGGCAGAUCCCUGGGCCGUAACUGACGCUGAGGAGCGAAAGCAUGGGGAGCGAACAGG
rnacentral:rRNA from 1 species